CAGCUAGAGGGUGAAUUGGAAGUAAUGGAGAUUUUGCCAGGUGAGGAAAUUUCGAAGAAGAAGAGAAUAGAUGAACUUCGUGAGACUCUAAAAGAGAAGUAUGAGAGUAAGGAAGAUAUGGAAUCACUUCAGAAGAUCCUUAUUGCCAAGCAAACAGCACACACCAAUGAGUUGCGACCUGCUAGGAAGAAGCUAAUAGAUGGCUUCCUGGAUCUUACAAAGGGUCGAGGAAAUAUAGGCAUCAAAAGAAUAUGAAAACUUGAUGAAAAGGCGUUUUUAAAUGCUGGCAAAAAACAGUUACCAGAAGACGAUGCAGAAUUUGCAGCUACCAUUCUUUAUUCAGAGUGGGAGGCUCAGAUUGAAAAUUGGGCUGCCACGGUUCAUGGAAAAAACACGGAAAUGAUCUCCAAGGACAAUGAGAAGCUCUGGGAACUAAAAGAAAAGCAUGGUGAUGAAAUCUACACUUUGGUAACAAAGGCGCUGGAUGAAAUCAACGAGUACAAGCCUUUUGCCGAAGAACAAGGUGGAGAAAUCUUUGGUGUACCUGAGUUGUGGAACUACAAGGCGGACCGGCGAGCAACCGUAAGAGAAGGCAUCCAGUACGCCCUGGAUAAGUGGACGACGAAUAAGAGGAAGCGCUGAGGCCCGAAUCUGGCUUAGCGUCCUUCAUGUGUUUCCCUGAACUAGCAUCGUUGUCAUUUUGCCUGAAUUAGAUACUUUAUCGGCUGUGAAGGAGCUCUCUAUUCAAUUAUUUGAAAAAUAUAUUUCUCGGACAUGUUUUGGUUGAUAUUAUCUAACUCCUUGAUCUUUU